rnacentral:rRNA from 1 species
UACGGAGGGUGCAAGCGUUAUCCGGAUUCACUGGGUUUAAAGGGUGCGUAGGUGGGCAGGUAAGUCAGUGGUGAAAUCUCCGGGCUUAACCCGGAAACUGCCAUUGAUACUAUCUGUCUUGAAUACCGUGGAGGUGAGCGGAAUAUGUCAUGUAGCGGUGAAAUGCUUAGAUAUGACACAGAACACCGAUUGCGAAGGCAGCUCACUAAGCCAUAACUGACGCUGAUGCACGAAAGCGUGGGGAGCAAACAGG